rnacentral:tRNA from 1 species
GGUAGGGUGGCCGAAAAAGGCGGCGAGCUGUAGACUCGCAGAUGGAGCAAGAGUUCCCGCUACCA